GGGGACCCGAGGUCCGUGGAGCCAAACGGGAUCGGGGGGCGGGGACCUGGUUCUGCCGGGCCGUGUCUGGGAUAGGGUGUGGAGAAGAUUCUGGGUUCUGGGACGGGGACGGAGAAGAGAACAGGGGCUCUUCCGCGAGGAUGCGUAUUUGGGACCAGAAGAGCGUCGGCAGCACGCGGUCCUCGCUAGGACCAUGGUCCGCGCCAAAGCCUCUAGUGUGAGGCCAGCGGGGAGCUGCACGUGGGCCUGAAACCAGGGCGAGUAGGCUGUCGAAACUCAAAGGGACCCCGGAAUGGGGUGAUGUCAGUCACCACCACACUGGAGCUAAACUCAAUAAAUUCAGUAAACACCAAGGAAUAUAAAAUAUCACCCCAAAUUUCAUCACCCUGAAAUAACUAUUACUGCCAUUAAGAACUCCACUACAGACAUUUUUCCUGACAACUACUGAAGUAUUUACAAGUGAAGUGAUUAUGUUGGGGAUUUGCUUUUUAAAAUUUCACAAGGAAAAAAAUGAGUGAGCAUGGAAAUGGAUUUGUCAAGCAAAUGACACCUGUUACCUCCUCCAGGGGAGGAGUCCUACUGCAUGGAGGAUAGUAAAUAGCUGAAGAAUGCCUGCCACCAAGAGCAGCAAUCCCAGAAUGUCUACUCCUUGGUUUGUAGAUGCCAGGGUUGCCAAGAGAGACACAACUCACGUAGGCACUGGAUGGAACAACACUUUACUCACAUAGGGAAGAAACAGCAAGAUCAGCUUCAGUAGUGGGCAUUGGUCCCCCAUGGCUUAAGAAGAGUUUAAACGCAAAUGAGAAAUCAAGAAAGACUGAAGAAUCUGGGUUUUUUUCCUGAUUAUAAAAUAUUUAAAAUGUAUAUCAAAGUGCAGAGAAUAACAUUUUUAAAAACCCAUAUACUCAUCCCUCCAAAUCUAUCUAAUCCUAAUAUUUUGCUAUAUUUGCUUCCAAUUUUUGAAGGAAAUAGAUAAUAGUGGAGGCUCUCUUUUAUUCCACAUCUCUUUCCUCUUCCUGGUGCCCACAGAAUUGCUUAUCCUUGAAGCUCAAUAUCUCAGUCAGGUUAUAUCACAGUAUUGAUCCAUCAAGUGUCAUUUUUCCUGGUACAUGGUAUAUCCUUUCUUUUGUAGAUUGUUUUCCUUCUUUCGGGCAAUUUUCUUUUUUUUUUUUUUGAGUUUGCAGAUGAUUUACUUUUUUUUUUUUUAAGAUUUUUUAUUUUUUUCCUUGUUCUCCCCAAAGCCCCCCAGUACAUAGUUGUAUAUUCUUCGUUGUGGGUCCUUCUGGUUGUGGCAUGUGGGACGCUGCCUCAGCGUGGUUUGAUGAGCAGUGCCAUGUCAGCACCCAGGAUUUGAACCAACGAAAACACUGGGCCGCCUGCAGCGGAGCACGUGAACUUAACCACUCGGCCAUGGGGCCAGCCCCUACUUUUUUUUUAAUUGAAGUCAAAUUGUUUCAGGUGUACAGCAUUAUAAUUUGAUAUUUGUAUACACUACACAGUGAUCACUGUCAAAAGUCUAGUUACCAUCCAUCACCAUACAGUUGACCCCCUUCACCCAUUUCACCCACUCCCCAACCCCCUUUUCCUCUGGUAACCACCAAUCUGUUCUCUAUAUCUAUAAAUUUGUUUUUGUUUUGUUUUGUUUGUUCAUUUGUUUUUUUUUUUACAAUCCACAUAUAAGUGAAUUCGUAUGAUAUUUGUCUGUGUCUGACAUUUCACUUAGCAUAAUACACUCAUUGUUGCAAAUGGCAA
ensembl:lncRNA